UGGGGAAUAUUGGACAAUGGGCGCAAGCCUGAUCCAGCCAUGCCGCGUGAGUGAUGAAGGCCCUAGGGUUGUAAAGCUCUUUCACCGGUGAAGAUAAUGACGGUAACCGGAGAAGAAGCCCCGGCUAACUUCGUGCCAGCAGCCGCGGUAAUACGAAGGGGGCUAGCGUUGUUCGGAUUUACUGGGCGUAAAGCGCACGUAGGCGGACUUUUAAGUCAGGGGUGAAAUCCCGGGGCUCAACCCCGGAACUGCCUUUGAUACUGGAAGUCUUGAGUAUGGUAGAGGUGAGUGGAAUUCCGGGUGUAGAGGUGAAAUUCGUAGAUAUUCGGAGGAACACCAGUGGCGAAGGCGGCUCACUGGACCAAUACUGACGCUGAGGUGCGAAAGCGGGGGGAGCAAACAGG
rnacentral:rRNA from 1 species